GGGGCCGUAGCUCAGCUGGGAGAGCGCAUGACUGGCAGUCAUGAGGUCAGGGGUUCGAUCCCCCUCGGCUCCACGA
rnacentral:tRNA from 1 species